UGCCCAGCAACUCCUAUCCCUAUCUCUUCGUGGUACCGGCCGGAAACUAUGAGCAACCUUAGGGAAGA
rfam:Aedes albopictus isolate Foshan contig3213, whole genome shotgun sequence.